GACGAAGGGGGCUAGCGUUGUUCGGAAUUACUGGGCGUAAAGGGCGCGUAGGUGGCCCUGCAAGUCAGGCGUUAAAGACCCAGGCUCAACCUGGGGAAUGCGCUUGAGACUGCAGGGCUUGAGACCGGAAGAGGAGAGUGGAAUUCCCAGUGUAGAGGUGAAAUUCGUAGAUAUUGGGAAGAGCACCAGUGGCGAAGGCGGCUCUCUGGUCCGGUUCUGACGCUAAGGCGCGAAAGCGUGGGGAGCAAACAGG
rnacentral:rRNA from 1 species